rnacentral:tRNA from 1 species
GCCCCCGUAGCUCAGUGGAUAGAGCAACUGCCUUCUAAGCAGUGGGUCACUGGUUCGAGUCCAGCCGGGGGUGCCA